ACGGAAGGCAGCAGUGGGGAAUAUUGCGCAAUGGGGGCAACCCUGACGCAGCAACGCCGCGUGAUUGAAGAAGGUCUUCGGAUUGUAAAAAUCUUUUAUCAAGGACGAAGAAGUGACGGUACUUGAUGAAUAAGCUCCGGCUAACUACGUGCCAGCAGCCGCGGUAAUACGUAGGGAGCAAGCGUUAUCCGGAUUUACUGGGUGUAAAGGGCGAGUAGGCGGGUCGGCAAGUUGGGAGUGAAAUGUCGGGGCUUAACCCCGGAACUGCUUCCAAAACUGUUGAUCUUGAGUGAUGGAGAGGCAGGCGGAAUUCCUAGUGUAGCGGUGAAAUGCGUAGAUAUUAGGAGGAACACCAGUGGCGAAGGCGGCCUGCUGGACAUUAACUGACGCUGAGGAGCGAAAGCGUGGGGAGCAAACAGGAUUAGAUACCCUGGUA
rnacentral:rRNA from 1 species